rnacentral:rRNA from 1 species
UACGUAGGGCGCAAGCGUUGUCCGGAAUUAUUGGGCGUAAAGAGCUCGUAGGCGGUUUGUCGCGUCUGCUGUGAAAACCUAAGGCUCAACCUUGGGCUUGCAGUGGGUACGGGCAGACUAGAGUGCGGUAGGGGUGACUGGAAUUCCUGGUGUAGCGGUGAAAUGCGCAGAUAUCAGGAGGAACACCGAUGGCGAAGGCAGCUCGCUGGGACGGUACUGACGCUGAGACGCGAAAGCGUGGGGAGCAAACAGG